UACAGAGGUCCCAAGCGUUGUUCGGAUUCAUUGGGCGUAAAGCGUGCGUAGACGGUUAUUUAAGUCGGGUGUGAAAGCCCCGGGCUCAACCUGGGAAUUGCAUUCGAGACUGAAUAGCUAGGGUACGGUAGAGGGAAGCGGAAUUUCCGGUGUAGCGGUGAAAUGCGUAGAUAUCGGAAGGAACAUCAGUGGCGAAAACGGCUUCCUGGACCAGUACCGACGUUCAGGCACGAAAGCGUGGGGAGCAAACAGG
rnacentral:rRNA from 1 species